rnacentral:rRNA from 1 species
UACGGGGGGGGCAAGCGUUGUUCGGAAUUACUGGGCGUAAAGGGCUCGUAGGUGGCCAACUAAGUCGGACGUGAAAUCCCUCGGCUCAACCGGGGAACUGCGUCUGAUACUGGCGGGCUUGAAUUCGGGAGAGGGAUGUGGAAUUCCAGGUGUAGCGGUGAAAUGCGUAGAUAUCUGGAGGAACACCGGUGGCGAAGGCGGCAUCCUGGACCGACAUUGACGCUGAGGCGCGAAAGCCAGGGGAGCAAACGGG